rnacentral:rRNA from 14 species
UUAAAUUGAAGAGUUUGAUCAUGGCUCAGAUUGAACGCUGGCGGCAGGCCUAACACAUGCAAGUCGAACGGUAACAGGAAGCAGCUUGCUGCUUUGCUGACGAGUGGCGGACGGGUGA